GAUUUCUGGCACGAUGCGCCUGGCCCGCCGCGGUUUCGUGUGUGAGUGCCGGGUCGAAUCUGCCAUCCUUCCAGAGAACUAUUCCUACCCUUCACUGGGCCGGGGAUAGAACAUCUGGAUCUUUUACUUUGAAAAAAUUAGAGUGUUUCAAGCAGGCGACUCGCUGUGAAUACAUUAGCAUGGAAUAAUAACUUAGGACUUCGGUUCUAUUUUGUUGGUUUCUAGGACUGAAGUAAUGAUUGAUAGGGAUAGUUGGGGGUGCUAGUAUUCAGUGGCCAGAGGUGAAAUUCUCGGAUUCACUGAAGACUAACUUAUGCGAAAGCAUU
rnacentral:rRNA from 1 species